UGAUGGUGUGGUUUGUGUGCAGGUUCUGAAUGGGUUCCAGUUGGCUUUCAGGAUUUUAUUUACAAGAAAAUUAUAUUAAAUAAGAACUAUACCUACCUUGGAGCAUCUCUUGGACAACUUGUUGCUGUUGGACUGCCACUGGAACUACAGAAUAAGCAUCAACAAACAAACAAACAAACAGUCGGGUCUGUGAGGAUGAGAAGGUCUCCACAGUCUGGAGUCUGGUCUCUGACAGGCUCAACAUACCUGUCAAUCAACAGGGACUUCUCUACAAAGGCAAGGCGCUGGCAGGUCAAAGAAGUCCCCUGGGUCGACAUUGUCUAUACCUUUUAGGAUUUUGAAUGCUUGAAUCAGAUCGCCGCGUAGUCGUCUUUGUUCAAGACUGAAUAGAUUCAAUUCUUUUAGCCUGUCUGCAUAUGACAUGCCUUUUAAACCCGGGAUAAUUCUGGUUGCUCUUCUUUGCACUCUUUCUAGAGCAGCAAUAUCCUUUUUGUAACAAGGUGACCAGAACUGAACACAAUAUUCUAGGUGAGGUCUUACUAAUGCAUUGUAAAAUUUUAACAUUACUUCCCUUGAUUUACAUUCAACACUCCUCACAAUAUAUCCAAGCAUCUUGUUGGCAUUUUUUUAUAGCUUCCCCACAUUUCUAGAGGAAGACAUUUCUGAGUCAACAUAAACUCCUAGGUCUUUUUCAUAGUUCCCUUCUUCAAUUUCAGUAUCUCCCAUAUGAUAUUUGUAAUGCACAUUUUUAUUGCCUGCAUGCAAUACUUUACACUUUUCUCUAUUAAAUUUCAUUUGCCAUGUGUCUGCCCAGUUCUGAAUGCUGUCUAGAUCAUUUUGAAUGACCUUUGCUGCUGCAACAGUGUUUGCCACUCCUAUUUUUGUGUCGUCUGCAGAUUUAACAAGUUUGCUUACUAUACCAGAAUCUAAAUCAUUAAUGUAGAUUAGGAAUAGCAAAGGACCUAAUACUGAUCCCUGUGGUACACCACUGGUUACCUUGCUCCAUUUUGAGGUUUCUCCUCUAAUCAGUACUUUCUGUUUUCUACAUGUUAACCACUCCCUAAUCCAUGUGCAUGCAUUUGCAUCCAUGUGCAUCCCCUGGUCAGCUGUCCAGCUCACUGCUGCAGAAGUUUGUUUGGGGCUGGGACAAUGGACUUGUGUGUUUUAGCCAUUUGUUAAUCUUUGAAGAGGACCUGCAAGUUUGUCUUGCAGUCUUCCCUGCAAUAAUGAUGGACUUUAUUUAUUUGAGAAUCUGUGUUGGAAAAUGUGCUUUAUGACGGUGAAGUUGUUUUUAAAAAAACAAGUAAAGAAAAUGUACAUGAUCUCUAACUCACUAUUUGACAAAUAACAAUUAAAAAAUGAAAGCCUGUGUGAUGCUUAUUUCCCUGCAAGCCCUUUUCUUUGACCACUGGAGCACACAGCCUCUUAUGGGGGUUUGGAACUGCAAAUCACUGCAUCUUA